GGGUACGGGAGCUGGGAGGCGGGGGAAGCCCCAGCAUGGGACCCUAGCAGCUUUGGACCACCCGCCCAGCCCUGCCUCUCACGCUCUGUCCCCCAGACAUGGUGGCCCAGGCGCUGGAGCUCUCUCGGAAACCACAUGUGGUCAUCGCCACACCGGGGCGCCUGGCAGAUCACCUGCGCAGCUCCAACACUUUUAGUAUAAAGAAGAUCCGUUUCCUGGUGAGUUCGCCCCGCCCCUGCAGACCUCAGGAGCUGGGCUCGGAGCCUCCAGGCCCAGUGUCAGAGCCUGGGGCACCAUCUCAUCCAUUUAGGAAACGUAUGUCCGUUAGACUGUCCAGUAAAACGCUAGGAACAGUGACAAGGACCGUUCAAGGACCAACAAGAGGGGGCCCAGUCCUAGCAAUGUUAUUCGGGGGUAGGGCCUUGCUGAGACUUGGGUGAGGGGCAGGCCUCCCUUGGAAGGAGGGUACUCCAGGGCCUAGGGUCCAUGUCCAUGCCUCUCAAAGAGGCCUGCUUCAGGGGUGGCCAAGACCCGGGGCCAUGGACGGCACCCUCACCCCUGCCCCCAUUGGCACGGCAGGUGAUGGAUGAGGCAGACCGGCUGCUGGAACAGGGCUGCACUGACUUCACCGUGGACCUGGAGGCCAUCCUGGCGGCUGUGCCGGCCCGCAGGCAGACACUGCUGUUCAGCGCCACGCUGACCGACACACUCCGGGAGCUGCAGGGUCUGGCCACCAACCAGCCCUUCUUCUGGGAAGCACAGGCCCCGGUGAGCACCGUGGAGCAGCUGGACCAGCGCUACCUGCUGGUGCCUGAGAAGGUCAAGGACGCCUACCUGGUCCACCUGAUCCAGCGCUUCCAGGAUGAGCACGAGGACUGGUCCAUUAUCAUCUUCACCAACACGUGCAAGACCUGCCAGAUUCUGUGCAUGAUGCUGCGCAAAUUCAGCUUCCCCACCGUGGCUCUGCACUCCAUGAUGAAGCAGAAAGAACGCUUUGCCGCCCUAGCCAAGUUCAAGUCCAGCAUCUACCGGAUCCUGAUCGCAACAGACGUGGCCUCCCGGUGAGCAGCCCCCAGUCUCCUGCCAAGGGCACUCCCUCGUUUACUACAAGGCCCCACAGAUGAGAAGGCUGGCCUCAGGCAUGUCAGGCAGCCCUAGCCUCCCUGCUGAGUGACCCUGGGUGAGUCCUUGCCUCGGUUUCCCCACAUGGACAGUGGAGCUGACCAGCCACCUCUGCCUCCAGGGGCCUGGACAUCCCUACGGUACAGGUGGUCAUCAACCACAACACCCCCGGGCUCCCCAAGAUCUACAUCCACCGAGUCGGCCGGACGGCCCGUGCAGGUGAGCAGUGGAGGGGGAGGCCGAGCCUUGGGCCUCUGUCCCUCCAGCCUGCCCAGCAAAUUCAGGUGGUAGGAUGUGGGUAGGGUGCAGCCCACAGAUGAGAGCUACUCAGGGCCAUGUUUGCAAGUUGGGGAGUUGUCCUUUCUAAAGCAAAGGUGAAUCCCAGCUACUCGGGAGGCUGAGGCAAGAAGAUCACUUGAACCCGGGAG
rnacentral:sRNA from 1 species